CUAAAUAUGAUAAACAGAAUGGCAUGUCUAAUGCUCUGCAAGCCAAACUGCUGCACUGUCUUCUCUUGUGACUUUAUCUCUUUUGUUGGAUCUGUAGGAUGAGAAGCCAAAUGACAAGGCAGGCCCACGAAGAACUUUGCUUAAGGCAGACAAGCAGUUGCCAAAACCAACCUCUGGGAGGUCUGAGAAGAAAUGAUCAAAACGUUGCUGUGUGAUUGCAUCCACUCUGCCAGAAUCUGCAGUUCGUCUACCAUACUUUCAAUUCUGAAGUGCUACCAACAAAAGAACAAAGAAUUGCAGUUCAUAAGAACACUGUUUCAUACCCCUAUACAGAAGAACAAAGAAGUAUAUACAAAGAAAACUGUGCCGUACCCUCAACUCCAGCAGGCCUGACUGAGGUGUGCCGAAGUCCCAGCAGGCUGCGAGAAGUGGUUACGGAGCCCCCAGCAGAAAACCGUAUUUGGGCCCUGAGACCAAAGCAGUCCAUCAAAGGCUUCCUAUAUGUUUUGGUCUGCAUUUACGGUUGGAGGCGUUUCAUGCUUUCCGUGUUGGAUAGAGACGACCAGAUAUCUAGAAAAUGAAGAGCCAAAGAUGUGGUAUAUUGCACCUGCUCCAGCUAUUACUGAAAUUCCAGCUGCAGAGGAGUUACAGAAGGAACUGGAAAAAAACACAGUCUACAGUCAUAUGGGAGAGAGACAGCAUCAGAAGUUUAUACAGCCGUGCAAGAGAAAUACUGAGGAAGUAAAUGAGAAGUCACGAGCACCUGUUCAUUUUGGGAUAGCUUCUAAAAAAGAAGAGCUCCAGUUAGGUUUAGGAGAAAAGGAUAAAACUAAUUUUCAGUGUGAAAGUCUGAAAAUGGUUUCAUCAUUUCUCUCAUCUGACCAAGAUAAAUAUAAAACAGGAAUUGGGGCUUGUCAACAACCUGGUGCAAAUAUGUCACAAAACAAAAUAUUAAUUAAUCUUCCAGACAACAGUGAUGAUGAAAGUAUCCAUUCAACAUUAAGAAAAAGAUUAUUUAAAAUAUCUGAAUUUGAAGAUAGUUCCAUUGAUAUGAAAGAAAUUGGUACUUUUUUGAAAACGAGUGAAAACAUGGAAGAGGUUAAAAAAGAAGACUUACAGAGACAUAAUCAUCGUAUUCCAAUAAUUAAAGACUCAGAUUUUACCCUACAUAGGGUAAAUGAUGGGGGCUUUGCUCCUAAAAAUGGAAUUAAGAUAAAAUUAUUUUCUAAUGCUUCAAAGAUUCUGGAUAUGAAAGGUAAUUAG
rnacentral:lncRNA from 1 species